GACGAACGCUGGCGGCGUGCUUAACACAUGCAAGUCGAGCGGUAAGGCCCUUUCGGGGGUACACGAGCGGCGAACGGGUGAGUAACACGUGGGUGACCUGCCCUCAGCUCUGGGAUAAGCCUGGGAAACUGGGUCUAAUACUGGAUAUGACUCCACGGUGCAUGUCGUGGGGUGGAAAGCCUUGUGCGGCUGAGGAUGGGCCCGCGGCCUAUCAGCUUGUUGGUGGGGUGAUGGCCUACCAAGGCGACGACGGGUAGCCGGCCUGAGAGGCGACCGGCCACACUGGGACUGAGACACGGCCCAGACUCCUACGGGAGGCAGCAGUGGGGAAUCUUGCGCAAUGGGCGAAAGCCUGACGCAGCGACGCCGCGUGAGGGAUGACGGCCU
rnacentral:rRNA from 1 species